AAGUGUCAUAGCGGAGGAGCCCCGUCGGUGCCCUGCCGUUUGUGAACUUAUACCUUGGAGUUGCCUCGGCGCAGGCCGGCCUCCCUGGAGGCCCCUCUGAGAGGAGGAGCAGCCCGCCGGCGGCCAACUAAACUCUUGUUUCUUAGUGAAUCUCUGAGUAAAAAAACAUAAUGAAUCAAAACUUUCAACAACGGAUCUCUUGGUUCUGGCAUCGAUGAAGAACGCAGCGAAAUGCGAUAAGUAAUGUGAAUUGCAGAAUUCAGUGAAUCAUCGAAUCUUUGAACGCACAUUGCGCCCUCUGGUAUUCCGGAGGGCAUGCCUGUUCGAGCGUCAUUUCAACCCUCAAGCACUGCUUGGUGUUGGGGCACCGCCUGUAAAAGGGCGGGCCCUGAAAUCUAGUGGCGAGCUCGCCAGGACCCCGAGCGUAGUAGUUACAUCUCGCUCUGGAAGGCCCUGGCGGUGCCCUGCCGUUAAACCCCCAACUUCUGAAAUUUUGACCUCGGAUCAGGUAGGAAUACCCGCUGAACUUAAGCAUAUCAUUAAAGCGGAGGACGGUGAACCUGCUGAGCAUCACAUUAAUCUGAGGAAUACUUCGGUGCUCGCAGGGCCGGGCGCUUGAAGAGGAAACCGCCCUAACUGUUUUAUGAAUCCGUAAAAAAUAAGAAUAAAUUUACAGGACUUG
rnacentral:rRNA from 1 species